rnacentral:tRNA from 1 species
GAGGGUAUAGCUCAGUGGUAGAGCACAUGCUUACUAUGCAGGAGGUCCUGAGUUCAAUACCUUGUACCUCCA